GUGUCAGCCGCCGCGGUAAUACGGAGGGUGCAAGCGUUGUUCGGAAUUACUGGGCGUAAAGGGGGUGUAGGCGGCCAGGUAAGUCGGAUGUGAAAGCCCUCGGCUUAACCGAGGAAGUGCAUUCGAAACUGCUUGGCUUGAGUAUGGGAGAGGAAGGUGGAAUUCCCGGUGUAGCGGUGACAUGCGCAGAUAUCGGGAGGAACACCGGUGGCGAAGGCGGCCUUCUGGCCCAAUACUGACGCUGAGACCCGAAAGCGUGGGGAGCAAACAGGAUUAGAUACCCUGGUAGUCCACGCCGUAAACGUUGGGUACUAGGUGUGGGAGGUUAAUACCUUCUGUGCCGCAGCUAACGCAUUAAGUACCCCGCCUGGGGAGUACGGCCGCAAGGUUAAAACUCAAAGGAAUUGGCGGGG
rnacentral:rRNA from 1 species